ACCUGGGUGGCUCAGUCAAUUGAGCAUCUGACUUCAGCUCAGGUCAUGAUCUCGCGGUUUGUGAGUUUGAGCCCCGCCUCGGGCU
rnacentral:tRNA from 1 species